rnacentral:misc_RNA from 1 species
GUGAAUCAUCGAAUUUUUGAACGCAAAUUGCACUCUCUGGUAUUCCGGAGAGCAUGCCUGUUUGAGGGUCAGUUUAAAUAUAAAUCGGUGUGGUUGCUUCCUUCCGUGGUGACGCACCGGAUUUGGGUUGUCUUGUCUUCGGUUAAGUGAACUAAAAUUUUGCAUGAUCUAUUCGAACGUACUUUUAUUAGUUUACGUACGUUUGAGAUAUCUAAUACUAGGUGUGGUCUUCUUCAUGCAUUGA